rnacentral:rRNA from 1 species
GAGAGUUUGAUUCUGGCUCAGGAUGAACGCUGGCGGCGUGCCUAAUACAUGCAAGUCGAACGAAUCUUCUUCGGAAGAUGAGUGGCGAACGGGUGAGUAAUACAUAGGUAACCUGCCCCUGUGCGGGGGAUAACAGGAGGAAACUCCUGCUAAUACCGCAUAGCCAUGAGCACCGCAUGGAGCUCAUGCCAAAUAUCCUUUAUGGGAUAGCGCAGGGAUGGACCUAUGGCGCAUUAGCUUGUUGGCGGGGCAACGGCCCACCAAGGCAACGAUGCGUAGCCGGCCUGAGAGGGCGGACGGCCACAUUGGGACUGAGACACGGCCCAGACUCCUACGGGAGGCAGCAGUAGGGAAUUUUCGGCAAUGGGGGAAACCCUGACCGAGCAACGCCGCGUGAGCGAAGAAGGCCUUCGGGUCGUAAAGCUCUGUUGUAAAGGAAGAACGUCGCAUGCAGGAAAUGGUGUGCGAGUGACGGUACUUUACCAGAAAGCCACGGCUAAGU